rnacentral:rRNA from 1 species
CCCUUAGAUGUUCUGGGCCGCACGCGCGCUACACUGAUGCAUUCAACAAGCCUAGCCUUGACCGAUAGGUCCGGGUAAUCUUUGAAACUGCAUCGUGAUGGGGCUAGAUUAUUGCAAUUAUUAAUCUUCAACGAGGAAUGCCUAGUAAGCGUGAUUCAUCAAAUCGCGUUGAUUACGUCCCUGCCCUUUGUACACACCGCCCGUCGCUCCUACCGAUUGAAUGUGUUGGUGAGGAGCUCGGAUUGGCAGCAGUUGGUGGUUCGCCACCGGCUAUUGCUGAGAAGUCCUCCAAACCGCCCCAUUUAGAGGAAGGAGAAGUCGUAACA